AUGGCUUGUUCCAAUCAAUGUCAAGCAGUUGCAUCAAUUCUUGGGGCUUUCAGGAUAUUAUCGCAAGUUCGUUCGUCACUAUGGCAUCAUUGCCAAACCUUUGACACAUUUGCUGAAGAAACAUGUUCCAUUUGUAUGGACAAGCGAUUGCACAACUGCAUUCGACACCCUAAAGCACUCUUUGGUGACAGCUCCGGUUCUCGCUGUACCAAAUUUCAGCAAGCAAUUCGUCAUCGAGACUGA
rnacentral:rRNA from 1 species